rnacentral:rRNA from 1 species
CGACUAGCAUCGGAUUUACUGGGCGUAAGCGUGCGUAGGCGGCUUUUUAAGUCGGAUGUGAAAUCCCUGAGCUUAACUUAGGAAUUGCAUUCGAUACUGGGAAGCUAGAGUAUGGGAGAGGAUGGUAGAAUUCCAGGUGUAGCGGUGAAAUGCGUAGAGAUCUGGAGGAAUACCGAUGGCGAAGGCAGCCAUCUGGCCUAAUACUGACGCUGAGGUACGAAAGCAUGGGGAGCAAACAGGAUUAGAUACCCUGGUAGUCCAUGCCGUAAACGAUGUCUACUAGCCGUUGGGGCCUUUGAGGCUUUAGUGGCGCAGCUAACGCGAUAAGUAGACCGCCUGGGGAGUACGGUCGCAAGACUAAAACUCAAAUGAAUUGACGGGGGCCCGCACAAGCGGUGGAGCAUGUGGUUUAAUUCGAUGCAACGCGAAGAACCUUACCUGGUCUUGACAUAGUAAGAACUUUCCAGAGAUGGAUUGGUGCCUUCGGGAGCUUACAUACGGGUGCUGCAUGGCUGUCGUCAGCUCGUGUCGUGAGAUGUUGGGUUAAGUCCCGCAACGACCCCAACCCUUUUCCUUAUUUGCCAGCGGGCUAAGCCGGGAACUUUAAGGAUACUGCCAGUGACAAACUGGAGGG